CGACAAUGAGAAAGAGAGAGGAAGAACUAAAGAAAUAAUUUUCUUUGUAUGUUUGGUUGUUUCCAAGUUUUAUUAAUUUUUUGGGUUUAAAUUCUUCUUUUUUCUGGGUUGUUGUGAAUUGUGAUGAAUGUAUGAAUAUUUGAUGAUGAACAAGAGUGAGGGAGAAGAUGAUAGUGCUGGAAAAAUUAGGUGCCGACGGCUCACUAUAGGUAUAAUGGACAUGCAAUCAAACAGCUAAUAUCAUAUCAAAAAUUUUAAACAUUAAAAAAUUAACGGAUGAAUCAAUUUGACUAACGGAGCAAAAUCAAGGGGACCAAAAUGUGAGUUUUACAAUUUAUGGGACCAAAAUGUAAACU
rnacentral:lncRNA from 1 species